UAAGUGAAGGCAAAUAUAAUAGCACCUAUCUGUUAAUUAGGAAAUAGUUAAUAAAUUAACUCACUU
rnacentral:tRNA from 1 species